ensembl:lncRNA
GCGGAGUGGGCAGGGCCGGGCUGGAGGGGGCGGGGUGACUAAAGGAGCAUGGAAAUUCAAGGAACUGGGGGAUUCAAGUUGCCGGUACUGGAAGCGCCAGGAGGACCGGGCUGUAAGAAGACUGGGCUGAGUUCUGCACUUCGGGGUGGAACUAGUCGGACCCAAGAUUAAAGAGCAUAGCAGGAAAAGGGAAGACUAUUUUGCUGAUGAAAGAUUAAAGCGGGCCUGUACUGGGCGGAGCGAUGCAGCGGUGAGAGGAUCAUCAGUCUAUUGGCUGAUGAAGUUUGCUUGAGAACAGCUGCAGUAGUCUUUCCACGGUCUGAGGACGGAAGCAAUCUCGAUGUCUCCAUCUCUCUGUCUCUGGCUUCUCCUGUGUUCUCUUAGUAACCUCACAGGCACCAUUGUCUCAGCAGUGGAGAUAUCCUCUCUGAAUGGGACCGUGGGAAAAUCUAUCCUGCUCUGUAUAGCCACAGAUUAUGGAAAUGAGACUCGGUCAAUUGAAUGGAUUGAUAAGACUCGCAAUCAACUCCUGUUCAAGAUCCAGCCAGGAGAAAGUGAGUCAAACUGGACUACCGCCCAGGACACAUACAAAGGGAGGCUGUCUGUACAUGAUAUGCGUUGUCUGAAGAUUGAGAAUCUGACCUCUGAAGACAGUGGUCUCUAUGAAGUAGAAAUCAAGUUGAACACUGGAGAAAUAAAACCUCAGAUCUUCAACGUGACUGUGUCUGGCACUGUGACUACAGGAUCCAACAUGAAACCACGGAAUUACUGGAUCUCAAUUGGCAUCCCAGUGGGUAUAGUCUGUGUUGUCCUCCUAGGGAUCGGAGUCCUGCUGUGUAAAGGUUAGAACCCAUCACCACUCCCUUGCUAUCGUCUGAUGGUGACACUCUCAUAAAGAUAAAAAAGGCAUCAGCAACAGGUGGAAAGAACACUUCAGUCAGCUCUCAACUGACCUUCUUCAGUCGACCAAAGAGCCCUUGACCAGAUCCCCCAAAACCGCACCAUUGAAAAACUUGAAGUCCCUCCUUCAAUAGAGGAAGUCCAAAAAGUGAAGGGAUCCCAACCGAGGUAUACAAGGCCUUAAAUGGAAAGGUACUCCAGGCAUUCCACAUAGUGCUGACCAGCAUAUGGGAAGAGGAAGACAUGCUCCCAGAACUCAGAGAUGCCUCCAUCAUAGCCCUAUACAAGAACAAAGGCUCACGAGCAGCCUGUGACAAUUACAGAAGCAUCUCACUACUCUCCACUGCUGGAAAGAUCCUCGCCUGUGUCAUACUCAACAGACUCCUGUCAUCUGUUUCAAAGCAGAACCUGCCUGAAUCACAGCAGGCAGGCACAGCCAGGCACUCGGGCGGCUGCGCUCCAAAGUCCUCCAACACAGUGGUGUAAGCACUGCGACGAAGCUCAAAGUGUAUAACGCAGUGGUCCUCAGCUCGCGCCUGUACGGUUGCGAGACAUGGACACUGUACCGGAAGCACAUGAAACAGCUGGAGCAAUUCUACCAAUUUUCUCUCCGAUCAAUCAUGAGGAUCCGAUGGCAGGACCGAAUCACCAGUAAGGAAGUCCUCGACAGAGCCAGCAUCGAAGUCCUGGUCCUCAAAACCCAGCUACGAUGGUCUGGACACGUCAUCCGCAUGGACCCACAGCAAAUACCAAGACAGGUAUUCUAUGGUGAACUGUCAGCUGGACCAGGAAACAAGGCCGACCAAAGAAAAGAUUCAAGGAUCAGCUAAAGUCCAACUUGAAGUGGGCUGGCAUUACACCAAAGCAACUAGAACUCGCUGCCUCUGACAGAAGCAGCUGGCGAACCCACAUUCACCAUGCCGCCACCACCUUUGAAGAUGAACGACGUCGACGUCUUGCCGCUGCGCGUGAACGCCGACACCAGGCCACAACCGCACCUCCCAUAACAACUGGCGUCCCAUGCCCCAUGUGCCACAAACUCUGCGCCUCAGCCUUUGGACUCCAAAGCCACAUGAGGGUACACCGUAGAAGAAAACGCACAAAGACAAUAGUCAUUCUUGGACACCGAGAGACUACUACUUAUAUCCUGCAAUUAAAGUUCCAAAACAAUUACUUUAAAAAAAGAGAAUACUCAGUCCCUAACUACAUAUCUUAACCUAGUCUUUAGUAUCAAAAGGGGGAAAGUAGGAACUAAGAGAUGGAACUUUUAGAUUUUCCUGGCCAGUAGAAUGAAUUUUUUCUCUUCUGUGAUCCUCACCUUCUCCUUUAGAAAAUAAAGUUCUAACUAAGAUAGAAUACCCA